rnacentral:lncRNA from 1 species
CUCAGCUGCUACAGAAGAAGAGACAGCGAGAUGAAGGUUCUGCUGCUCAGCGUUGUCCUUGGUCUGCUUUAUGCAGGCCACGGUGAAGCUCAGCUAAUUCUCAAACCGUUUUCAGGGGAAUGGAAAACCCAUUACAUCGCAGCCAGUAACAAAGACAAGAUCACUGAGGGCGGGCCAUUCCACGCGUAUGUACGUCAUCUUGAGUUUCAUGCAAAUAACACAGUUGACCUCGACUUUUAUGUCAAGUCAGACGGAGAAUGUGUAAAAAAACAACUCACAGGAGAAAGGCAACAACUUCUCGUUUAUCAUGUUGAAUAGCGGAUAACAAGAGAGAGAAACAGAAUAGUUUGCCGUCUUCCACGGGUCUCUUUCAGGAGCUAACCCCCAGCUGUGUUUUGUGGGGUGAGCUGUCUCACAUCAAGCACAGCACAAGCAGCGACCUUGACGGUGACCUGACACCCAGAAGAUAGCUUUCCUCUCACUGUGCCAUCGCCUUCACAGUGAUGCUGCUAUGUCCACCUUGGUGAAGUUGCGGUAAAGAACAGGUGGUCACUGAUAAUCUGAGGGCAUGCAUCGUCUGGCUUAAAUUAUUCCAAUGUGAUCCAAGAUUCCUGGACUCAUGGUUGGCUUGGGCAUAUUGUGUAUAUUUUCGGGGUUAUGAGACAGUGAAGCUGUUUCAGCUAUUUUUUUUUCUCCUUCUCAAGCAGACAUGAUUUUAAGUAUUUUAACACUGAGGAAAGGUGUUUUCAUGUUUCAGGAACACAGUUGUGCAGUUUACAUCCCAUCUCGCUCAGUGAUUGCAGGAGGGUGUGAUGGAGGCCAGGAGAGGCAGAAUGGACAUAGAUAGUUUAGAGGUGACAGGCAGUAGGUCAGAGCUGCUUUUCUUGUCCAGACACAUGGGGCAGAGUGGACGGGCAGGGCAGAGAGGAG